UACGGGGGGAGCAAGCGUUGUUCGGAUUUACUGGGCGUAAAGGGCGCGUAGGCGGCCACCGCAAGUCGACUGUGAAAUCUCCGGGCUUAACCCGGAAACUGCGUUGGAUACUAUUCAACUAGAGGAAUGGAGGGGAGACUGGAAUACUUGGUGUAGCAGUGAAAUGCGUAGAUAUCAAGUGGAACACCAGUGGCGAAGGCGAGUCUCUGGACAUUUCCUGACGCUGAGGCACGAAAGCCAGGGGAGCAAACGGG
rnacentral:rRNA from 1 species